UACGUAGGGUGCAAGCGUUAAUCGGAAUUACUGGGCGUAAAGCGUGCGCAGGCGGUGAUGUAAGACAGGUGUGAAAUCCCCGGGCUUAACCUGGGAACUGCAUUUGUGACUGGCAGGCUAGAGUAUGGCAGAGGGGGGGUAGAAUUCCACGUGUAGCAGUGAAAUGCGUAGAGAUGUGGAGGAAUACCGAUGGCGAAGGCAGCCCCCCUGGGGCCCAAUACUGACGCUCAUGCACGAAAG
rnacentral:rRNA from 1 species